GAUGAACGCUGGCGGCGUGCCUAAUACAUGCAAGUCGAGCGAACAGACGAGGAGCUUGCUCCUCUGACGUUAGCGGCGGACGGGUGAGUAACACGUGGAUAACCUACCUAUAAGACUGGGAUAACUUCGGGAAACCGGAGCUAAUACCGGAUAAUAUAUUGAACCGCAUGGUUCAAUAGUGAAAGACGGUUUUGCUGUCACUUAUAGAUGGAUCCGCGCCGCAUUAGCUAGUUGGUAAGGUAACGGCUUACCAAGGCGACGAUGCGUAGCCGACCUGAGAGGGAGAACGGGCAGCCGGUCACUGAGACGCGGCCCAGACACCUAGGGUAGGCAGCAGUAGGGAAUCUUCCGGGAGGGGGGAAAGGCGGAUGUAGCGAAGCCGCGUGAGUGAUGACGGUCUCCGGAUGGUAGAACGCUGUUGGUAGGGAAGAAGAAAUGUGUUAGUAACGAUGCACGUAUUGACGGUACCUAAACAAAAAGCCCCGGCUAACUACGUG
rnacentral:rRNA from 1 species